UCUUAUGAUUAGUGGCGCACGGGUGAGUAACACGUAGGUAACAUGCCUUUUAGUGGGGGACAACAUCGGGAAACCGGUGCUAAUACCGCAUAAGCACGCAAGUGGAAAGGGGGCUUCGGCUCUCGCUAAAAGAGUGGCCUGCGGGACAUUAGCUUGAUGGUGAGGUAACGGCUCACCAUGGCGAUGAUGUCUAGCUGGUCUGAGAGGAUGAUCAGCCACACUGGAACUGAGACACGGUCCAGACUCC
rnacentral:rRNA from 1 species